rnacentral:misc_RNA from 1 species
CGCACAUUGCGCCCUUCGGUAUUCCGUUGGGCAUGCCUGUUCGAGCGUCAUUAGAAACUUCAAGCUCAGCUUGGUGUUGGGUGCUUGUCCCCCCUGUUGGGGGACUCACCUCAAAUACAUUGGCGGCCGGUAUGUUGGCUACAGCGCAGUACAACGCGUCUGGCGUCUUGAUAUACUGGUCCUCCAGAAGCCACUUCUUUUGCUUGACCUCGGAUCAGGUAGGGAUACCCGCUGAACUUAA